GGUGCGAAAGCAGGUCAUAGUGAUCCGGUGGUUCUGAAUGGAAGGGCCAUCGCUCAACGGAUAAAAGGUACUCCGGGGAUAACAGGCUGAUACCGCCCAAGAGUUCAUAUCGACGGCGGUGUUUGGCACCUCGAUGUCGGCUCAUCACAUCCUGGGGCUGAAGUAGGUCCCAAGGGUAUGGCUGUUCGCCAUUUAAAGUGGUACGCGAGCUGGGUUUAGAACGUCGUGAGACAGUUCGGUCCCUAUCUGCCGUGGGCGCUGGAGAACUGAGGGGGGCUGCUCCUAGUACGAGAGGACCGGAGUGGACGCAUCACUGGUGUUCGGGUUGUCAUGCCAAUGGCACUGCCCGGUAGCUAAAUGCGGAAGAGAUAAGUGCUGAAAGCAUCUAAGCACGAAACUUGCCCCGA
rnacentral:rRNA from 1 species